UUAAGCGACUAAGCGUACACGGUGGAUGCCCUGGCAGUCAGAGGCGAUGAAGGACGUGCUAAUCUGCGAUAAGCGUCGGUAAGGUGAUAUGAACCGUUAUAACCGGCGAUUUCCGAAUGGGGAAACCCAGUGUGAUUCGUCACACUAUCAUUAACUGAAUCCAUAGGUUAAUGAGGCGAACCGGGGGAACUGAAACAUCUAAGUACCCCGAGGAAAAGAAAUCAACCGAGAUUCCCCAGUAGCGGCGAGCGAACGGGGAGCAGCCCAGAGCCUGAAUCAGUGUGUGUGUUAGUGGAAGCGUCUGGAAAGGCGUGCGAUACAGGGUGACAGCCCCGUACACAAAAAUGCACAUAUUGUGAGCUCGAUGAGUAGGGCGGGACACGUGGUAUCCUGUCUGAAUAUGGGGGGACCAUCCUCCAAGGCUAAAUACUCCUGACUGACCGAUAGUGAACCAGUACCGUGAGGGAAAGGCGAAAAGAACCCCGGCGAGGGGAGUGAAAAAGAACCUGAAACCGUGUACGUACAAGCAGUGGGAGCACGCUUAGGCGUGUGACUGCGUACCUUUUGUAUAAUGGGUCAGCGACUUAUAUUCUGUAGCAAGGUUAACCGAAUAGGGGAGCCGAAGGGAAACCGAGUCUUAACUGGGCGUUAAGUUGCAGGGUAUAGACCCGAAACCCGGUGAUCUAGCCAUGGGCAGGUUGAAGGUUGGGUAACACUAACUGGAGGACCGAACCGACUAAUGUUGAAAAAUUAGCGGAUGACUUGUGGCUGGGGGUGAAAGGCCAAUCAAACCGGGAGAUAGCUGGUUCUCCCCGAAAGCUAUUUAGGUAGCGCCUCGUGAAUUCAUCUCCGGGGGUAGAGCACUGUUUCGGCAAGGGGGUCAUCCCGACUUACCAACCCGAUGCAAACUGCGAAUACCGGAGAAUGUUAUCACGGGAGACACACGGCGGGUGCUAACGUCCGUCGUGAAGAGGGAAACAACCCAGACCGCCAGCUAAGGUCCCAAAGUCAUGGUUAAGUGGGAAACGAUGUGGGAAGGCCCAGACAGCCAGGAUGUUGGCUUAGAAGCAGCCAUCAUUUAAAGAAAGCGUAAUAGCUCACUGGUCGAGUCGGCCUGCGCGGAAGAUGUAACGGGGCUAAACCAUGCACCGAAGCUGCGGCAGCGACACUAUGUGUUGUUGGGUAGGGGAGCGUUCUGUAAGCCUGUGAAGGUGUACUGUGAGGUAUGCUGGAGGUAUCAGAAGUGCGAAUGCUGACAUAAGUAACGAUAAAGCGGGUGAAAAGCCCGCUCGCCGGAAGACCAAGGGUUCCUGUCCAACGUUAAUCGGGGCAGGGUGAGUCGACUCCUAAGGCGAGGCCGAAAGGCGUAGUCGAUGGGAAACAGGUUAAUAUUCCUGUACUUGGUGUUACUGCGAAGGGGGGACGGAGAAGGCUAUGUUGGCCGGGCGACGGUUGUCCCGGUUUAAGCGUGUAGGCUGGUUUUCCAGGCAAAUCCGGAAAACUAAGGCUGAGGCGUGAUGACGAGGCACUACGGUGCUGAAGCAACAAAUGCCCUGCUUCCAGGAAAAGCCUCUAAGCAUCAGGUAACAUCAAAUCGUACCCCAAACCGACACAGGUGGUCAGGUAGAGAAUACCAAGGCGCUUGAGAGAACUCGGGUGAAGGAACUAGGCAAAAUGGUGCCGUAACUUCGGGAGAAGGCACGCUGAUAUGUAGGUGAAGUCCCUCGCGGAUGGAGCUGAAAUCAGUCGAAGAUACCAGCUGGCUGCAACUGUUUAUUAAAAACACAGCACUGUGCAAACACGAAAGUGGACGUAUACGGUGUGACGCCUGCCCGGUGCCGGAAGGUUAAUUGAUGGGGUCAGCGCAAGCGAAGCUCUUGAUCGAAGCCCCGGUAAACGGCGGCCGUAACUAUAACGGUCCUAAGGUAGCGAAAUUCCUUGUCGGGUAAGUUCCGACCUGCACGAAUGGCGUAAUGAUGGCCAGGCUGUCUCCACCCGAGACUCAGUGAAAUUGAACUCGCUGUGAAGAUGCAGUGUACCCGCGGCAAGACGGAAAGACCCCGUGAACCUUUACUAUAGCUUGACACUGAACAUUGAGCCUUGAUGUGUAGGAUAGGUGGGAGGCUUUGAAGUGUGGACGCCAGUCUGCAUGGAGCCGACCUUGAAAUACCACCCUUUAAUGUUUGAUGUUCUAACGUUGACCCGUAAUCCGGGUUGCGGACAGUGUCUGGUGGGUAGUUUGACUGGGGCGGUCUCCUCCUAAAGAGUAACGGAGGAGCACGAAGGUUGGCUAAUCCUGGUCGGACAUCAGGAGGUUAGUGCAAUGGCAUAAGCCAGCUUGACUGCGAGCGUGACGGCGCGAGCAGGUGCGAAAGCAGGUCAUAGUGAUCCGGUGGUUCUGAAUGGAAGGGCCAUCGCUCAACGGAUAAAAGGUACUCCGGGGAUAACAGGCUGAUACCGCCCAAGAGUUCAUAUCGACGGCGGUGUUUGGCACCUCGAUGUCGGCUCAUCACAUCCUGGGGCUGAAGUAGGUCCCAAGGGUAUGGCUGUUCGCCAUUUAAAGUGGUACGCGAGCUGGGUUUAGAACGUCGUGAGACAGUUCGGUCCCUAUCUGCCGUGGGCGCUGGAGAACUGAGGGGGCUGCUCCUAGUACGAGAGGACCGGAGUGGACGCAUCACUGGUGUUCGGGUUGUCAUGCCAAUGGCACUGCCCGGUAGCUAAAUGCGGAAGAGAUAAGUGCUGAAAGCAUCUAAGCACGAAACUUGCCCCGAGAUGAGUUCUCCCUGACUCCUUGAGAGUCCUGAAGGAACGUUGAAGACGACGACGUUGAUAGGCCGGGUGUGUAAGCGCAGCGAUGCGUUGAGCUAACCGGUACUAAUGAACCGUGAGGCUUAACCUU
rnacentral:rRNA from 1 species